rnacentral:rRNA from 1 species
UACGUAUGGUGCAAGCGUUAUCCGGAUUUACUGGGUGUAAAGGGAGCGUAGGCGGCGCGUUAAGUCUGAUGUGAAAACCCGAGGCUCAAUCCCCGGACUGCUCUGGAAACUGUACGGCUGGAGUGCAGGAGAGGUAAGUGGAAUUCCUAGUGUAGCGGUGAAAUGCGUAGAUAUUAGGAGGAACACCAGUGGCGAAGGCGGCUUACUGGACUGUAACUGACGUUGAGGCUCGAAAGCGUGGGGAGCAAACAGG